rnacentral:tRNA from 1 species
GGGUCUUUAGGUUAAUGUCCAAACUUGGGGCCUUCAAAGUCUCAGAUGUCUUUUUGUCAAGGCCCG